AUUCAAUAGAUGUUUACCGAAGAAAUGAAUAAACUACAACACUGAGAGACCUACUCCAGCAAGUGGAAUGACCUUGGAAAGGAACAAAAACUUCCAUUUGGAACUCUGUUUUCCCACAGUGGAUUAUUUUGUGGAGGUAUCAAAUCUGGACUAGCUGUGCUACACAACAGUGAGUGAUCAUGGAGCUGUUUAUCCCACUAGCUUACCAGAUAAGAGCAGAAUGGUGCCAUUCAUCAAGACAAGUGACAAUUAAAGAAGACCAGGUUUAUUACAAUAAAUACCACUGAAUGCCUACCAUGGGCCAAG